AACGAACGCUUGCGGCGUGCUUAACACAUGCAAGUCGAACGAGAAAGGGACUUCGGUCCUGAGUAAAGUGGCGCACGGGUGAGUAACGCGUAGGUAAUCUACCCCUGUGUUCGGGACAACAUCGGGAAACUGGUGCUAAUACCGGAUACGUUUCACGGAUUGCGAAAUAAGUGAAGGAAAGGUGGCGCCCCUUCGGGGGGCUAUCGCCAGGGGAUGAGCCUGCGUACCAUUAGCUAGUUGGCAGGGUAAGGGCCUACCAAGGCGACGAUGGUUAGCGGGUCUGAGAGGAUGAUCCGCCACACUGGAACUGAAACACGGUCCAGACUCCUACGGGAGGCAGCAGUGAGGAAUUUUGCACAAUGGGGGAAACCCUGAUGCAGCGACGCCGCGUGAGUGACGAAGGCCUUCGGGUCGUAAAGCUCUGUCAGCAGGGAAGAAAUGUACGGUGGCUAAUAUCCAUUGUACUUGACGGUACCUGCAAAGGAAGCACCGGCUAACUCCGUGCCAGCCGCCGCGGUAA
rnacentral:rRNA from 1 species